GAUGUUUUUAUUAUAAUUCAAAAUUGGAAAUCAUGUUGCCGGCGAAUACCGGCACGGGGGUUCGAAUCCCCCUCUCUCCGCCA
rnacentral:tRNA from 1 species